rnacentral:rRNA from 1 species
AUUGAACGCUGGCGGCAGGCCUAACACAUGCAAGUCGAACGAGUGGCGGACGGGUGAGUAAUGUCUGGGAAACUGCCCGAUGGAGGGGGAUAACUACUGGAAACGGUAGCUAAUACCGCAUACCAUCGGAUGUGCCCAGAUGGGAUUAGCUAGUAGGUGGGGUAACGGCUCACCUAGGCGACGAUCCCUAGCUGGUCUGAGAGGAUGACAGGCCAAACUGGAACUGAGACACGGUCCAGACGCCUACGGGAGGAAGCAGUGGGGAAGUUGGCACAAUGGGCGCAAGCCUGAGGCAGCCAUGCCGCGUGUAUGAAGAGGGCCUUCGGGUUGUAAAGUACUUUCAGCGAGGAGGGGUUAGUCGCAGAAGAAGCACCGGCUAACUCCGUGCCAGCAGCCGCGGAAAUA